CCUGCUCAAAUGUUGCAUUUCCCAAGACCACCCUGGCCUCCCACGCCCCCAUUCUGUGCCUAUAAAAACCCCCGAGGCCCUAGCCGGCAGACACACAGGCGGCUGGAUGUCAAGAGGAGCACAACAGAGGAGGAACACAGAGGUGGCUAGACACAGAGAGUAACACACUGACGGCUGGACAUACGGAGUAAAACACCGACAGGCACGGGCACCCUGGCAGGCCACCGACCAUUAGAAAUAGAAUGACAUGGAGUUUAGCUGGGGCAGUCAGAGGAGAGCCCAGGCUGCUGAACGGCUCGACUCUAGGGGAAACCCUUCCCACUCCACCCCUUCUGACUUUCCGAGAGCUGCUUCCACCCAAUAAAACCUUGCAAUCAUUCUCCAAGCCCAGGUGUGAUCAGAUUCUUUCGGUACAUCAAGGUAAGAACCUGGGAUACAGAAAGCCUCUGUCCCUGAGACAAAGUAGAAGGUCUAAGGGAGCUGCUUAACACAAGCCACCUAUAGACGGCAAAACUAAAAGAGCAAAACUAGAAGAGCACCCUGUGACACACUCCCACUGGGGCUUCAGGAGCUGCAAACAUUCACCCCUACACACUGCUGUGCAGUCGGAGCCCCAUAGCCUGCCCGUCUGUAUGCUCCCCUAGAGGUUUGAGCAGCGGGGCACUGAAGAAGCAACCCCAUUACACGGCCUGCGAGGGGGACAAGGAUCUCUCCCUGUGGUGCCUAGGUUGGUUUAAAACUCUUGGCCUCAAGCGAUCCUCCCACCUUGAAUUCCCAAAGCAAGGUGCUAUUAGUAAUUGGCUCAGAGAACUCGCCAUUAGGGGCAGUGCAUCACUUAACAAUGGCUGGGCGUGAAAGAGAGCCCUGCUCUACUGACCCUUCAAUGUGCCCGUGUGCCUAAAUAUUCCUGGUCGUGUGAAAAGAACCCAGGUAUUAGCUGAACUAAGGAGCACAAUUCUGCAACAUUUUGGCACCCAAACACGGGGCUUGAGAAAUGAAUGCAAUUGGAGAAACUGGUUGUUUUACCAGGCGUUGAUUGGAAAUGUGUGCUUCCCUUUAAGCAGUCAAGCUCAACUUGCAGAACUGAUGGGAACCCCUUGGGAAAACUGGCCUCAAAUGUUUGUCUACACAGUCCACAUACAGGGUUCUUAACCUGCGUUUUUACCUACAUUUUAGACUGACCCUGCUUGUGCCUGUGAACCAACCAACAAUCUCUGGCUGCAGCUCAGAAAGGACAAAAGAGAAUGGGUAAUGUAAAAACCUGGAUCAGUAUUUUAGUUCUGAACAAUUAUCCUGCAAAUCCUGCCAGCUGAUGGGAAUAAAUAGGAUGCCCAUGAUCCGGAGGUUUACUUUUUGGGAAAGUAAAACCAAGGGAGCUAACCAAAGUAAAACCCCAUACACCCAAAUCUGAGCAAGCAUAACUAUAGCCACCAGUUAUCUGGGUGUGUCACAAGACACUCUUUUCUUUCCUUUGUUGGAGGAGAACUCAUUUCCACAGCUUCACUUUAGCAUUAUGGCUUAUGUUAAGGAGUCUAUGCAACUUCCAUGCUGAGACACGUUUUUGGUCCCAAAGUUAAUUCCAAGCUUUGUGUCAAAGGCCUAAGAAAACUGGAUCUUAGGGAUCCAGAAGCCAGACAAUAAUGAAAGUCAAAAGGCACAGCACAGGUGAGCAUGACUAAUUCCCGCUGAUUAAGCCAAGCUUCCUGUUUCAUGGAUAAAGGUCAUGCUAGUAUCCAUGGCAUAAAUGAGGUCUAGAGAACUAAAAGGCUACUGCCAGCAGGGGAGAUAGGGAGGACAUAAGACAGGGCAGCUAUUCCCAUCCCCUAGACCCCCUGUUAACAUGGAUGAAAGCCACUUUGACACCCAUGGGUGGCACCCUGUCACAGUUGGUGGGACUCAGCAAUACAGGGACAGAGGAAAGAAAGAGGAACAACUCACUUUCUCUCCCUCACACACCCUGAGUAUUUGCUAGAAAAAGAAAGGAACCAGGCACACAUGCUCCCCUAUUUCUAGAUGAGUAGCCAUUCAUCUUUAGUCUGCACCCUUUUAGAACAUGUCCUGAACCCCUGGGACUCUUCUGAAAAAAAUGCCUUCUUUUUUCCUUUUUCUUCCUCUGUCCUCUAUUCACUGGUAGGUAGGUAAUGGUGUCCCAUACCACAGAACACUUCCCUCAGAUGCAUCCUUCUAACUGGGAGGAGUUAAUUUCUCAAACCGUAGACUAAUUGGCUUAGGAUUAGGUUCAGGGGAAGGGAACACAGAAACAUGACAUGCCAGCAAAAGGGUAAAAGGUUUUUUUUCCCCGUUGGGCUUUUGGCCUCUCUCUCCCUGUGCAAACUGGUAAAAGGCGUCUGGAUUUUCUAGUUGUCCUUACCCACUGCUUGUUUCGUUUUGAUACAUAUUUUCUAAUAACCUGUUUGUCUCUUCUCACUUUUAGGCCAUCAAACUCCAGUCUGCACCUGGAGCCUUGGAUGAUGGCCUUUUUUACUGGGAACCCUGAAAUAGGCCUCUGAGGGAAAUCUGAUUGCCAUUUUCCCAAAACAGCUUCCCUGACAAUAGGAAGCAAUUAAGAUUGGUCUUCAUCCUUAUCUUUAUCCUUAUUCUAAUGGCAGUUAGAGGUACUUCUUUAGAGGGGGGAAUGAGACAGCCAAAUGCCUAGGCAGAUAAAAAGGUGUACCUGGAAAAUUUCCAACCCGUCACACAAGUGUUUACAUCAGAUGCUUUUGUGUAGAUGAGGGAAACUUCCCAGGGCUUGUCUGGGUAUGCCCACAGUGGACUGGAGCCCAAAAUGCACACUGGAGGAAGUGGAUGGAGCCACGUGGAUGUCAUGCCUUAUGCAGGGGAGGAGCCUGCUCUCUUCAGCUCCUGUGGUAAUGUGGGAAUCGAUCUGUGAGGAAACACUUUCUGAAAAUGUCAGAACUCUUGAAAACAUGGAUGAGGAAAAGCAUAAGUACUGCUUUAUGCUUUUCUUAUGAAUUUUAAAAGAUGUAAUUUAAAGAUUGAAACUCCCACAACUUUGGCAGACCAACUCCUCAGAAAACAUUAUUCUUUGACAUCAAUAUGUUUUGCACAAAAUUGAAUGGCAAGUGAAAGGCAUCAAAUGGAGCUGUCAUUUAAAUGUGCUUGCCAACUAGCUUGUUUAUCAAAACAUUCCAGACCCUUUCAAAUUCUCAUUUACAUUGUUUCUUGUUUACCACACCCAUAAAUUUGUAUUACCAGCAUAUUUAACUAUCCGGCUAUUUUGGAGAUUGAAAAAAGAAGACCUGAUUUAUCAUGUGCAAUAUCUCACACAUCUGUCAUUUCUAUUCUACCGCAAUUCGGUGAGUUCAGCCUCUUUUUACUUCAUGUUUGAAUAAUCGCAAUAGAUUUUAUACUGUUCUCACUGCUAAACUUGCUCCCCCUAUUACCCUACAGACACUCAUAUUCAUCUUGCAUAAUACCACCAGAUUAUUCUUUGUCCAUCUAUUUUCCUAGAUAUUUGUCCUCCACUUUCCUGUCUUUUUUUCUGCACUUCAUUCUACCCAUCUUAGUGAAUAGACAUCUUUUCAACUCUCUCAGGCUAUAUAUACAUCAAUUUUUCAAAAUCCAAGUAAAACUUCACGUCCUUGAGAGAAUUUUAGAGAGCGUGUAAUACCUACAUUUUUUUUUACCAUUUAUUAGGAAUAUAUCUCAGCCCCAGUUAUGUGAUUAUUACAUAUUAUAGUAUAUUAAUGUUUGCAAACUCCUUGUAAAAUCAUACACACCCCAUACUGCUAUAUUCAUUUCAAUAGCAAAACAGUUUCUUUUCAAUUUUGUAAUAAAUAUAUUAAGAUCCUGUCCUCCUCCAGGCCAAUUUUCUUCCCCUAUAUUUAAAGUGCUCUGAUGGAGGUAACUUAUUAAUAAUUUGAGCCUAAAACAGCUUUUCAAAUAUGCAUUUCAUUUUUGCACACCAAGCUGGUGUGUGCCUGCAGGCGCUAUUUCUAUUAAGUGAACAGCUGGAUAUUGUGUAGUGGAUUGACCAGGUGUUUGAGUGAACUCAUUAGUCACCAUAUAGAAGCAACUUAAAAGAAUGAGUCACAGUGAUAGUCAUCUCACUUUGGGAAAAGGAAAAGAAAUAAAUAAAAAUGUUUCAUAUCUAUCAGACAGCCACAAAGCACAGUCCCUAUCAACAGGAGCAAAUUCAAAUAAAAAUGGCCCCACCAUACAUAUUUUAUUUGAUUUACAUCUAGCACUGAAGAUAUACUUUAUGAAUUUUUCCUUUAUUCUGACAGUCAUAAAAUAAACGGAGGUGAAUCAUAUAACUUUUGAAUAUCUACAUAGCCAGAGAUAAACUCUGCAUAUUAAAUAUCUUCCAAUAUUACAUCUACCAAAAAACAUAGCAGAGGUCAUAUUUAUGUUGCAACUGAGAAAACACUCAAAUUAUUUAAAGAGAAAAUUUAAAUACUUUACUAAAAUUCACAUUAAAUUCUGAAUUUUACAUGGGUUUAUGUGGCUCUACCAUUCAUACUGUUGAACUUCUGAGUUAUUAAUAUUUACAAAUAACCCAUGUUCUUUCAAAUGAUUCCAAUGCUUACAGAAACACAUAUAAAAGUACAUACAAUGAAAUAAAACUGUGGCAAUGUAGAAAAAUGAAAACUAUAAUAUGACAACGCAAUGAAGCCAGAGUUAAUGUGAGCACAUGAAAUGAAAUCCUAACAUUUUCUCUUCAGCUUUGUCUCUGUGUCUUACUAUGCUAAUGUAGGUAAUAAGCAGUAUUGAUAGCUGGAAGAAGUAAAUUAGCACAUGAAAAGAACCUUGAUUAUUAUUUGUGCAAUUCCUGGAGUCCACUGAUACUUACCAACUCUUAAAGCUUAGAUCUAGGGUAUCCAAACACUGCUUCCUUUCCAAGAAGGAAACAUACAAAAAAACUAAGGCAGCAUGCUCUAAUUCUUUUUUUCUUUUUUUUCUUUUUUAGAUGGAGUCUUGUUCUGUGGUCCAGGCUAGAGGGCAGUGGCAUGAUCUCGGCUCACUACAAGCUCUGCCUCCCGGGUUCACGCCAUUCUCCUGCCUCAGCCUCCUGAGUAGCUGGGACUACAGGCGCCCGCCACCACGCCUGGCUAAUUUUUUGUAUAUUUACUAGAGAUGGCUAGUGUUAGCCAAGAUGGUCUCGAUCUCCUGACCUCGUGAUCUGCCCACCUCAGCCUGCCAAAGUGCUGGGAUUACUGGCGUGAGCCACCGUGCCUGGCCAGCAUCCUCUAAUUAUUAUUCAUAGUUUGUGAAUUUAGGCCUACGUGAAUAAUAAUAUAAUAUUUACUAUGAUGUUACUAUCUACCAACCUUAUUUUUCUUUUCUAUAAAAUAGGAGCCAAAAUAAUAUUUAUGUCAUACCUUAUGAAGUUAAAAUAAAAUAUAACGAAUGAGGGGCUUAACAAUGAGUGUCAUUUUGUAAUUACUUUGUACCAUUAUUAAUUGCUGAGACAGAAUAUGGUAUCACUAGUCAUCUGUAUCUAUUGCACAACUUUAUUUUGAUUCAUUCCUUACUAUUUUGCAUAGAUAGGCCUAAAUUUUUGAUCCACUGCUCAACUCCUGUCUUUAAACCAUUGGUUCUCAAAUAGAGUUGAUUUUGACACCUAGGGAACAUUUGACAACAUAUGGAGAUAUUGUUGAUUUUACAGGGCAACCCUUCAUAAGCACAGAAUUAUCUGGCCCCAAAUGUCGACAGUGUCAAGUUCGAGAAACUCUGCACUAGGCUUUUCUGUCUGGUUACUCACCCCUCUUCUUUGCACUGCCCCCAGUUUUAUGGAUAUUGAAUUCCUGAUUUCUCACUAUAUUAAUUGCACUUAUAGAUAUUCUAAAUUGAUUUGUAUAUAUCUUCCUAGUUUGACCCAUUGCUUUUAACUGAAUUUUACUGGGCUUUUAUAAAGGCCAUUUCCAUGGAGUUUAGUCAUUAUCUUCACCAAAUUUUUAUUUGCUUCAGUCUGGGGAGGAACUCUAUAUUAAAAAAUAAAAACAAACCCAAAAACUAAUUUAUGAAAGACAUUUUAUAAUGUAAUUACUUAAACAUUUUUUUUCUUCUUUCUCAUACGAUCUUUUAAAUUCAGUGAGUGACAUGUGGUUUUCAGGCUGGGUCAGGAAGUUUGCUUGGACGGGGAAAUUCUGUCUGCUGAGACACUAGGGGAGCAAAUGCCUAUGUGGGCACAGGCUGGUCACUGACCUCCUAGGGUUCCCUGACAAUAAAUUAGUCCUAGUUGAGGUCGCCAUCAUCAGAACUUAAUUGGUCCCUGGUACUGGUGAAUCUCUGCACCACAGAGACUAAUCAGUUACAGAACUCAGCUUCUGGGCAUAGGCAACCUUUUCUGUUUUUUCAAUUUUUUGUCAGCAAAGUUGAGAAAAUGAACACACUCAAACAGCCCAUUUCUUAGCUUAUCAAUAUCCGUACCCACUUCUUUCCCUCAUCAACAUGUAUUUUCCAUAUUUUGUUGGUAUUAACCUCUGACACUCAUCCACACAAGAAAGUCUACAAAGCCUAAACUAACUUUUAAACAUUAUUUAAGGUAAUAGCUUUGUCUUCCACCAGAAACCUGGCGACAUUUUUAAAAGGAUUUGAAGAGAUAUAUACCCGAGGGACAGAGAGAAAAAUUAGUGCUGACCAGUCUGGGCCUACUUGACUAACACAAAAUAGAUUAAAUUAAUAAAAACAAGAUGUUCUGCAUUUAUAAACAUGUUAACUCUUUUUAAUGUGUAUGACUCAUUAAUGAGUUCAUAAUUAGAUUUUGAAGGAUUUCAUUCUGGACCUUGCAGAUUGUAUGUAUCUUUCUGGUAAAUUAGGAAGUAUAAUUUUUCAAUAAAAAAGCUCACUGGAAACCCCUGUAACAAGUAAUAAAUAUUUAAAAUUUGCAGAAAUGUUUACUUAUUCAAUAAAUACUGACUCCACAUUAAGAAAUGCUAGAGAUAAAGCAUUUCUAAAGGCAAAUUCUACUGUUUCCUGGUUUUACAUUCUAGAUUUUAAGACAAAGAUGGCUGCCUUGAAAUUUUAGUUAUGUGAAAGAAAUUUCGUAAUGAUAUAACUUUUUCUUACUCUGACUCUGUGAGACUUUUGUUUAUAUUUUAUGAAACUAUUUCUAUAGCACAUGUUAUAUAAAUAUAUUUGAGAAAUCAUUUUUAGCUUUCAGAAAUUAGUUUGCUUAAUACAUUUUAAUUUUAAUAAAGCUCCAUUCCUCUAGUCCUUUCAUAUCUGGAAUAUAUUUCCUAUACAAUAUCUUCUAUAUUAUUUAAUACUGCUGUUUUUUAAAAGAGAAAUUGAAACCUUUUACUCAUAUAUACCAGACUUCCAAAACUGUCUUGGUUUGAAAAUCAGUUCUCCAAAAUACUUUCUCUAACUUAACUUUAUAUCUUAGGUGCAAAUACAAUCCUGAUAAAUACUAUAGUCAGGCAUUUUAAAAACUUUAUGUUUCCCAUAUACUCAGCAGAGUAUCAUCUUCUUGCCCUUUCCCUCACUAUGGUAUCCUUCAAGAACUUAUUAGCUCAAAUUCCAAAUCCUCAAUGAAACAAUCAUCUAUCAAUUUCAUAAUUCACUGUUUUAUUCAAUAAAUAUUUAGUGAAUGAUUUCUGUGUGUCAGGAGUGUAUUGGGAGCUUGGGGACAAAGUGGUGGGCUAGAUAGGCAU
rnacentral:lncRNA from 10 species